CUCCAGAUAGCCUAGUGGUUAAGGUUAUGGAUCGCCAAUCCGAGACGGUGGGUUCGAUUCCCGUUCCGGUCG
rnacentral:tRNA from 1 species